CAGUCGCCGCGGGAAUACGUAGGGUGCGAGCGUUAAUCGGAAUUACUGGGCGUAAAGCGUGCGUAGGCGGUGAUGUAAGACAGAUGUGAAAUCCCCGGGCUCAACCUGGGAACUGCAUUAGUGACUGCAUCGCUGGAGUGCGGCAGAGGGGGAUGGAAUUCCGCGUGUAGCAGUGAAAUGCGUAGAUAUGCGGAGGAACACCGAUGGCGAAGGCAAUCCCCUGGGCCUGCACUGACGCUCAUGCACGAAAGCGUGGGGAGCAAACAGGAUUAGAUACCCGCGUAGUCCCUGUCUCUUAUAC
rnacentral:rRNA from 1 species